AUACUGAUCCAAAUGUGAUAGAAUUAACGUGAGUCGUCCUGUUGGAUUGGGUUGGUUAUGCUCAUUGAUUGUCCUAUCACUGUGCAGGUAUGUUUGGUGAUGUUGGUUAACUGUUAGUAGUGCGCUGUUUCAUAUUAGUAUUAUCUUUGUUUAGAGCUGAAGCUUGGGACAAACCUUGCGGCUGGUGCUUGGUUGACGUGGGUUCUUUUUGCAGUUUCAAUACAUGCGGUUUCCUGACGCUACAGACUUGUUGUCUCCCGUUGUGUGCUGUAUUACCAUUGACGUGAGCUCACGGAUGCACGCAUACGGUAUGUGGUUUUAAAGUUUGUUAGUGUUUAUUUAUAAAAGAGUGUGUUUUAUGUUAUUGUUAAUUGUAUUAUAGAUUGCGUUGCUGCGUAUCAGCGGUUCCUUGUUCUCCCCUGUGCACGUAUUUUACGCGGAUUGAUAGAACGAGCCCGCAGCUUUCUGGUUCACCGGUGCACUUAAUGGUAACGUGUGCUAGACAUCUGAUUCAACCGAUUUACAGUGGUAUGUGUUGGAAGUGAUAAUAAGCUGGCACUUGGGUUGGGCUGUCUGAUCUGUCUUUAUAUUUUAAAUUCACAGGUAGACUCGCGCCUAUAGGCCAUUAAAUCUCGUGCUGUCGGGGCUUCGUGGGAAUUAUCAUCCAGGGGCGCUGUUGCUUUGCCUGUCAUUUCGUACAUUUGUGGUGUUUUUCUUUGGUUUUGUUGUUUUUGUUGUAUGUUUGGUUGUAAAAUGUUUAUUCUUAUUUCUUUUGUUUAAUGUUCUUGGUUAAUUUAUUUUGUUGGUACAACCUUCUUAUAAUUCUUUAUUGUAUAUUAAGUUUAUUUUGUGUAUAAAAGAGGGAUUUAAUAUCCUUCUCCUUUCUUUUUGUUUGUUUCAUUAUAUUGUGAUUUGGUAUUUAUGGGUGAAAGGCAUGAUUAAGGGUUAAAAGUGCCUUCACAUCCCUUGCAUUGACGUGCUAGAUGUGGUGUGUUCGUGAAUUUACCAGUGAUUUUGUUGUGACUAUCCUCAAGUGUAACACACUAUCUCUUUGUUACAGGAGCUGAGUGCUGAAGGUGGGUGGAUUUUGGUGGUGGUGUUGCUUCACAAGUGCUGUGUGCAGUGGUGUGUGUGGGUGUGUGUGUGAGUGAGAGUGUUUCCACACAGGUGUAACCAAAUUGUGCUGUGCUGUGGAGGCCUAUUAGUGCCCUUACUCCCUCCUGUUGUGCCUCGGCUCCUGUACUUAUUCCUUUGCGGUGUCUGAGAAUGCAGGUCACCCAUAUUGCAUUUUAUUGAGUUUAUUCAUUUUUGUUUUCUAUUGUUGCUUCAGAUAUUUUAUCUUUAAUAAAAUUUCAUAAUUGUUUUA